AUUGAACGCUGGCGGCAUGCCUUACACAUGCAAGUCGAACGGCAGCACGGGGGCAACCCUGGUGGCGAGUGGCGAACGGGUGAGUAAUAUAUCGGAACGUACCCUGGAGUGGGGGAUAACGUAGCGAAAGUUACGCUAAUACCGCAUACGAUCUAUGGAAGAAAACGGGGGAUCGCAAGACCUCGCGCUCGUGGAGCGGCCGAUAUCUGAUUAGCUAGUUGGUGGGGUAAAGGCCCACCAAGGCUUCGAUCAGUAGCUGGUCUGAGAGGACGACCAGCCACACUGGAACUGAGACACGGUCCAGACUCCUACGGGAGGCAGCAGUGGGGAAUUUUGGACAAUGGGGGCAACCCUGAUCCGGCAAUGCCGCGUGAGUGAAGAAGGCCUUCGGGUUGUAAAGCUCUUUUGUCAGGGAAGAAACGGUCUUGGAUAAUACCUAGGGCUAAUGACGGUACCUGAAGAAUAAGCACCGGCUAACUACGUGCCAGCAGCCGCCGUAACAC
rnacentral:rRNA from 1 species